UAAAAAAUAAAAUUCUGUCUACAAUGUAGGAUCUUAAAAUCAAAAGGGAGUCAAGUUACAUCCAGAUGCUGAAGAUUUUUGGAUCCCUAAAACAAAGUGUCUCUGUUUUAUACACAAAUAUUUCAAUUUGUACAAGUUUAACUAAGAAAUUAUUCACUUUUGUUUUGCCCAAAAUAAACAGUAGUGAUUUGAAAUGUAGACAGUAGUUCAGUAAUAUAAAAUCUCUAAAUACAACAUCAUCGGCAGAAUGCCGAUCUUGUCAAAUUCAGAUCGAUACAUCAAAAACGCAUGCAUGCGAGCGAAUGAAGCAAAAGCAAUGAAAACAUAACCUGCAGGUUAAAAGGGGGGCUUACCCUGAGUUCAGUGCGUGUCUGGGUUACGACGUGUCUGAGUAGUUCCACAGCGAGUUGACAACUAGGUAAAAGGAAGGUUAAUGUGGGCUUUGCUCAGUGCCAUGAUGAGGCUGCUGAAAAAGCUUUAAAGCUUUGUGACUGCAGCACUUUUGACUAAUCUGGACCACUUUACUGCUCAAUAUAACUCACUCG